AAGCCACCACCACAACAUCGAGUUGAAGCUGAUGAUUCGAAAAGUAUGCAAUCUGGUCCACUACAUGCUCCAAAUCCAAAACGUUGUCGUCUUUACAUUUCGCUAGUAGUCUCUGAGCUUCCUGUUUGGUCAUCUUGAUCUUUACCCUCACUACUUCCUCCUUCCCUUCAACCUUAUUCGAACCUUCUUUCUCUUCCAGAGGCUUCUCCUCAGGUUCGAACUCAUACCUCACUGGCUUGUUGGGCUCGAAAAUCUUAUUCUUCUCCAACUGAAACCUCACAACUUUACGUGGCUUCAGAGGCUUUGCCAUCUCUUCAUCUUCAUCUUCGAACCUUAGGGAUCUGUCAAUCCUCUUGGCUCUUUGCAAGCAACGAGACUUUUUGAUGGGUUCUACUGAACACUCUGAUCCAUUCAGAGGCGAUGUUAAGUCGUCUUUGAAGAUUGAUUUUGCUUCUAGAACGCUCUCGUAUCUUUCUUGAAGUCCGUUGAAGCAUUUAGCUAAUGAAUCCAUCAUUUUUUUUUCCUAUGUUGAUACAAAAGGAGGGAAAGCUUUUGAGUUAUCUUCUUGUUUUUUUUUGUAGAGUUGCAAGUUUAAUUUUCUACAUCUUACCAAAUGAGAGACGAGAAUAUAUAUAGGCGACCAAGACUGUGAUUUGACUGAUAGGACACGUAAUGGCGUGUGCUUUGGUGUAAAAGGAAGAUGUAACUUUGCCGUGGGGGUACUAGAAUUUAUUCAGGUUUGUUUUGUUUUAUUACUGUGAGAAAAAAUGUAAGAAGCC
rnacentral:lncRNA from 1 species